rnacentral:rRNA from 1 species
CUUGUAGGCGGUUGGUCGCGUCUGCCGUGAAAUCCUCUGGCUUAACUGGGGGCGUGCGGUGGGUACGGGCUGACUUGAGUGCGGUAGGGGAGACUGGAACUCCUGGUGUAGCGGUGGAAUGCGCAGAUAUCAGGAAGAACACCGGUGGCGAAGGCGGGUCUCUGGGCCGUUACUGACGCUGAGGAGCGAAAGCGUGAGGAGCGAACA